AUUGAUAUAUACAAGAAAAUACGUGAGCCUAAUAUAAAAAUGUUAAUAAUACGUCGCUUGAGAUACACGAUUCGAUGAUGAUUCAUGAGUUUGAAUCUGCGAUGACUACAGAAUUUAGGAAGGAAAAUUACAAGCGUCGCGAGAAUAUCAUACAUUGAUCCAUUUGGAAUGUAACUAUCCUCUCCAAGAUGUGUCACAUCGACAAUCGAGUAUAGAGUUCUACAAUUGCAGCUGCGUGUUCGAUAUGUGAUGAUGUCUUUUGUGCCUCGGCGGGGCAACCGGCGGAUUCUCCUGCACCAGGGAUCUUCUCGCCAUGAGCCACUUUUUGGCUCUGCCGGCGUGAUAGUAGUAUGUAUAAAGCAACGCCAUAGCAGCCAGCACCACCAACAGGCACGUACCGGCGAUGACAACGCUGAAGAGCCAGUACGGCCCGGUGGUUUUCGGCGACGGUUCCAUCGUCGACGAUUCGUCGUAGGUAGACGUGGACGUCGGCUGCUUCGGUAGCCUAGGCGGUAUCGCGGCUUCGUUGUCGCCGAUCAGAAUGUCGGCACAGGCCCGAAACUCCUCCUGGGGCCCGCAUCCGACCGCCCCUAUAAACAUCAUCGUACAAUCCUUAUAAGGAGAGAAAUUCUGUCUGACGUAAGAGAUGAGAAGAAUGUUUUCUAUCUGGUCAUUUGUAAAUAUUAUAAAUAAUGUUUAUUUAUACUUUUUCUUUCCAAAUAUACGAUCGGUUUAAAUCUUGGUAAAAAUAUCAUGAAUUGUAUUAGCAUACAACUUAUACAAAUAAACUAGGCUUUGCUUAGUAAGAUGUUAUGCAAGGAAAGUUAGCAAGGUAAACUCUUGAAUCAUUCUUAUUAUACAGAAUAAAGUAACAGCACUUUCUACUGCAUCGAAAGAAUCUUAAUGAUAUAUUAAAGCAAUGGCAUCAAUAACGAUUUAAUACUUGCAACACGAUUGAUACUUUAAGCACUUUCUAUGUUACAUUUGACAUAUGAAGAGGCAGACAGUAAAUACAUACAGUAAACGUCAUUUUUUCAUACACCAAUUUGUCGGCCUACUUUGAACUAAAAGCGUUCGUUUUAAGUUCAUCGAACAAGUUUAUUUUUUCAUCUAUCGCAUGUUCAAUCGAGAUAUCAACUUUCCAAGUUUCGUUUAUAUUUCAGCUACGUCAUACAUUCUACAAGAAACAUCAAGAAAUAAUAUGUUACCUGUUCCGUUGCCGCAGUCGCCCCAAUUAUUGCCAGCGAUGUAUCGCCACUGGAAGACACAUUGGGCGCAAGUUAGACCUUCUGGUAGUUUGAAGUAGCCCUCGAAGACCCGGUUACCAGGACCAGGAUAGUAACGGGUGGUUCCAUUCUCGGCGGCCAGCAGAUGCUGGUCCAAGCACUCCUGGGUGACCUCCCGAUCGCGGUAGGCCAUGGCGCAAGUUCGGAACUCGAAGUAGCCGUGAUGGUUCGCCGUCAACUCCACGCGGACCGGGAUGACGGAUCCGGUCCGGUAACGUCGGACAAUCACGCCGUUUCCAUAUUUGCCGCCCGUCUCGUGAGCACGUGGCUGGAAACAAAGCAUUGAGAUAGAAUAGACAUGAAAUCCUUUCUCUCUUCAUGGAAGAAAAUGGCGUAUCGAGAAAAGAGAGAAAGAGGAAGAAGACGGAUUUCACUUCUGUUUCGGGCUACUUUCGUCCGUACGAUAUCAGAUGUAUACAUCAAGGUCAAGCGUCCCGCAUAAAAAACCGCGCAAUGAAAACGCGAUGGUGGAACACGAGACUGGAUCACGAAAGUCCCAAGAGAAGCGCGAUUAAUUAAUGGUUUUUUUCUUAAUCUCCAUUCGUGCGUGGAUUUUGUAACCCAGUUUAUUUCCAUAAUUCGUAAUUAAGGUCGAGAUGAGAGGAUCUUCUAUUGCAUUUGUACCGUAUAAUUUUCCGAAACGCGUGUCGACAUUAGCGGUAUUGUGUGAUAUUCCACGGUCAACGGAGCGAAGAAUCGUACGUAAUGAUGGACUCACCGCUGGAGAGUCCCAGGCAUCUCCGCAAAUCCCGCAAUUCCCUUUGUUUCGCUGCCAUUGCCUAGUGAAGCCGCCGCAGUAACAUUCGUGAUCGUUGUAAUCGUGAGGCGUGUCGAAGCCAUAUCUCCACAUGGAUGCCCUCGAGGGUGGCUCUAUCAGUCUUCCGUGGGCGGAAACUUCUCCAACGACCAGCAAGUUCACGAUUAAUAAUAUCAGAUUAAGGGCGAGGAAACGCAUGUCUGGUCGCGAGACAAGCCGGCCUCUGUAAAAAGAUUCGACUUCAGAUGAGAAAUCUCUUCAGAGGAAUGGCAACGACGUAUUCGCGGGUCAGCAACCAUAGAGAUAUCGAGAGUCGGCGCGCAAGUUUGAUGACCUUUCCCACUGUACGGAACCACAAACACUUUGCUUGAAAAGUAACGGAGAAACACGCACGCAAAUUACAAAUUGACGACAAUGAGGACGAUUAACACAAAGUCGACACAGCGGCAUUAGAAAUCGUAAGAACACACGCGCAUAUUAAUCAAGGUUGAAUAGAGUCUCGUCCGAGGCAUACUGUAUAGUUUGGCGUCUAUUGUAUGCUAGACUGUCGUAAGAACUGUUAAUUUCAUCGAUCGCGGUCUCACAGCCGCACGAAGGCCCGUAAAAUCGUCGUUUAUGCCAGCAGCAUUCGAAAGCCACAGGACACAAUGACGAAGGAGCUCACUGAACCGGUUAUUACACACCGACACACGUACAUAAGAUAUCCCAGAUAUCGCAGAUAAAACCUUUUCUUUGAGCGAUAAGAGCUUUAUUUUUAUAUUUUUAUCCAGAUAGCAAAAGUAGUCAUUUUGACGACAAAAUGAUGUAUUUUGACAUCAAAUUACGUUAUUUUGCCAUCAAAAUGAUGUCAUAAUAAUUACUGUUGCUAUCUGAAUAAAAAUAUAAAAAUAAAUAUUGAAAAAAAUAAGCGAUGACUCGUGAGAAAUCAUCAUCUCGUGAGAAUUUUUGUUUCGGAUUUAAACAACUUGCAUUUUAUGAUUCAUAUAUGUAUGUUAACUUGGCUCCACACAUACGAGCUAUUCUGACUUUCCUGUGAAAUAUUGUGAUUGCAACAAGAUAAGAUUGAGUGACACCGUACUUUCUCAUAAAGUUUCAUACGUGUUCUGGGAACCUUCAGAGCCACAUAAUAUUGCUCUUUACUGGGUGCUUACCUUGGUUGGUGUGAAAGAAGCGAAGGCCCCGCUCUCCCGCAUCGGCCGCGACGAUGAUUCAGAGUUGUAGCGAACAGGGCCCGGAACCGGUCGCUCGACGACUGAACCCGACACCUCGCCGGAAGACCGACCGACCGGCCAAGCGAGCGAGUAGUCUGGCCGAUCGGUGUGGGUAGUAGGUUAUUAGAACGAGGCACUCGUUCGCAUUCACGACGAGGAUGCUACAGAUGGUUGUUGUUCUUAAAAGCACGUCAAUCAAAUGCAAAUGAAAAACUGCCUGGGUUUUGUAGGACGUUCAGAUGAAAAUCGGAUUCGAGGAUCAAUAGCUUCCUUCCUCUGCGAAAAGAUCCGCGAAACUAUUGGAUAAUGUAUGAGGCGUUCUAGAAAAAAAGAAUCGGCAGCAGUGAUAUUCUUCAACAAAUAUAUAAAGAAUACAAGUAUAGAGGGAAAAAAUCUAAUUCUUGAAUUAUUUAUAAAUAUUAGAAAUUAGUGACACUUUUAAUGAAACUUUGAAAGAGUAUGAGAAAUAAUGCUCUUAUUAAUACAUUAUCAUAGCCAGGAUUUUAUGAGAAGACAAAGAGACUUUUUUUCUCAAAGACGAGCUUUCACGAACUUUUCUCUCUGUUCUCGACGAUAUGAUGAAAGUGUUCAUGCAAAUAUGCGUGUCAUAUCUCGAGCAAAUGCACUUUCGUACUUGAAGAUUGAACUGAAAGUACCUUCGGAGCAUUUGCGGUAAACGCGAGUUUGUUUUAACAGAAAUACAUUCGGCAAAUGCGUCACGACCACUCUCACUCCAUCCGCAGGAUUCUCUCUUUUGGGUUUCCGGCCGACAACUAUAGUUCGCUCGACACGCUCCUUGUUCGCUUCCGGCUUUUGUAGUCAGCACGGCCGACAAUUGAGAUGUUCGGAGUUUCGUCACGAUGAAUAUACAAGAGGGUCCAUUCUCUAUGUUAUUGAUUAGAAUCAUUUUUGAUCCGAAGAAUAAUAUACAAUACAUUAGAGGAACAACGUCGUUGAGAAAAGUCAUCAAGAAAUAAUUUAAUUUUAAACUUCGCUAUUAAGAUUAAUAAAACUUUGAAGAUUAUGGAAAGUUGAUAAUGAUAAUCUUCUUCGACACUUUCGCUAAAGGAAACCAGACUACGAAUUAGUCUCAGAGGCUAAUUAAAAAACCAUCAAAUGGCAUAUUUUGUGUAUAUUUUCUAAUUAAUGGCUAUUAUUAUUAGAAUAGGUCGUGUACCCACGACAAAUGUAAGAGAAUUGCAUUUGGUCAAGUUCGCGCUGCAAGGUCAUUAAUAUUUAUCGACGAGCUUACAAUUGCAUAGAGAAUACAUAUUAUCGAAUGUACAUUGUAAACGCGUGCCUACAUAUUCUAACACGACGAGGAUUCCAUCGUAGACGAAGGAAGGUCUACAACCUCGCUCCUAUUUGAGAGAGACGCUUUUCCUUGAUCCGUGCGCAGAAUAACCGGUUCUCGGAACCACCUACGAGGUCAAAUCA